ensembl:lncRNA
CUGUUGUCUUUGUGAUCACGUCACAUCGGGGCUUCAUAAUCAUCUCGUGAAUGAUGAAUGCACCCAGAUCUGUCUCUUCUUCUGUCAUUUCUAACCAGCAAAUCUCUGUGUGUAAAAGACAUUCCUGUUAGCAGGAGCAAAGAACAGGACCUCGCACUUCUCUGCUUCAGACUCCCUGACAUGCUUACUCUGAAGUUGAUGGAUAUGCUGCAAAUCUUUGCUCUCAAAACUGCUGCUUCCCUAGAUGGCUUUGAAAAAAAACAACCCACAAAUAUCAAGGCAGCAUGAAGGGAGGAAGGUGGCUAUAAAGGAUACUUUGAGGAAGAAGAGAGAAGUAAGAGAGAUGUCAGUGCCAGGCUGGAGCUACUCUUCCAAGGCAUAAGAUUGAAUAUAUUUGCUGCGUUGCAGAACGAGGAGAGAAAUGUCACCUUCAGAGGUGAUCUGACAAUCACAAAAAUAAAUUACAUAGAGGAGAGGAAAAAAAAAAACAACCACAACAAGAUGAGCAUUUGUGAAUAUUCAUGAGCAAGUCAAAACCCCCAAAUUAACAAGGAAAUUAAUUUCCAAACUGAUUAGGCUGCCAACUCCUUUUAUUUAAAUAAAUCAACAAUUGCCUUCAUGUGACUCCUGCUGAAGAACGGGGAGCUAAUCCUGACUCCUCCCAGGGGGAAGUUUGGUGCCGCCUGCGAUGACCAGUGCCCCAGCCCGUUCUGGGGACAGGCGGGCGCUGUGGCCGGAGCCGCCGGCAGGUUUCCCUCUGCCCGCUGCUCCGGAUGCUGCGGUUUCACCAUCGCCCGAGCCCAUCUAACCGCUGGCUGCUCUGCUUGUGCUGUCCCUGGUCCCACCCUCUUACUCAUGCUGGCUCGGAAAAGCUGUUCCAGCAUGCCAAGCUGGCAGAAAACUCACGCAACAAUUAAAAAAAAAAAAAAAAAAAAGAGGUUUCUGUCAAGUCAGAGCACUGAAAAGAGCUCAGCCAAACGCGCGGCGCGCAACACCACAGGUGAGGAAGGCAACCUAACCUGACCUGGAGGUGGGCCCAGCGCCAGAGUUAACCCUGCUGCGAGUAGCGGGACCAAGCGCAGCUCAUCCCCGGGCGCCUGCAGCGGAGCGGAGCAGCGGCAGCCAGCGCGGCUCGGCGAUUUUAGGGGUGUCUGCAGCCCGGCUUAGCGGCUCGGCGAUUUUAGGGGUGCCUGCAGCCCGGCUUAGCGGCUCGGCGAUUUUAGGGGUGUCUGCAGCCCGGCUUAGCGGCUCGGUGCUGAGUCCCGCUGGGGCAGCCUCGCCGUGCCCGCGGCUCCGGGCACUGAGCGCCCGCGGGGAAGUGCCAGAGGAAAGCCGGGUGGGCUGAGGCGGUGACACUGAGCUCUCAGCGUCUGGCAGCGAGGGUGAGCUGCUGCAGCCCCCUCUGGGCUCCAGCUGGCACGGUUAGGAAUACGAAUACAAGAACAAUUGGUGUUCGGGUGAGGUUACACCGAGCCCCCGCUGCCGGGACAGGGUUACCCUGCUCCCCUCCGCCCCGGCCGUGCCCUCCUGUUCCGGGCAGGGAGUGGGACGGUCCGGUUUGCCCGCUCUGGCACAAAGCCAGCUGGCGGGAAUCCUUUCUGUUGGCUGAGCAGGACAGACACGUUUAACAGCGUGCCAGGAGACGCUCGAGCCAGCGCGGGCUGGGAUCUAUCCAGGCGCUGGCAGCCAAACUUCGGGACAGCUCCUCUGGAUCACCGCGGCGGACCGGGACCGCCCCAGGCGCUGGCAGGCACCGCGCUCGGGAAAACUCCUCGGGACCGGACCCGUUCAGCGCCGCCUCAAUUACUAUUC